rnacentral:rRNA from 1 species
CACCGCGGUUAUACGAGAGGCCCAAACUGAUAGACCACGGCGUAAAGCGUGGUUAAAGCACACACAAAAUAAAGCUAAACACUUCCACAGCCGUUAUACACAACCGAAAGUUAGAAGACCAACUACGAAAGUGGCUUUAAACGCUUGACCCCACGAAAGCUAAGGCA